CCUACGUGAGGCAGCAGUGGGGAAUAUUGCACAAUGGGGGAAACCCUGAUGCAGCGACGCCGCGUGAGUGAAGAAGUAAUUCGUUAUGUUAAGCUCUAUCAGCAGGGAAGAAAAUGACGGUACCUGAGUAAGAAGCCCCGGCUAACUAAGUGCCAGCAGCCGCGCUAUGACGUAGGGGGCAAGCGUUAUCCGGAUGUACUGGGGUUAAAGGGAGCGUAGACGGGAGUGCAAGUAUGAAGUGAAAGGCUGGGGCUAAACCCCCGGACUGCUCGGGAAACAGUCCUGCUGGAGUGCAGGAGAGGUAAGUGGAAUUCCUAGCGUAGCGGUGAAAUGCGUAGAGAUUAGGAGGAACACCAGUGGCGAAGGCGGCUUACUGGACUGUAACUGACGUUGAGGCUCGAAAGCGUGGGGAGCAAACAGGAUUAGAUACCCCAGUAGUC
rnacentral:rRNA from 1 species